GUAGGUGAACCUGCGGAAGGAUCAUCACUGACAUUGGUUUAUGAUUCUGUGUGAACUGUGAUAUACGGGUGUGUGUUGGUGGGGGCAAGUGUGCGGGAGGGGAGAGGUGAUGGUGGGGUGGGGGGUGCGUCGUGGCACGGGAGCAGUAGCGCCCAUGUCACGUCGCGUGUCGCAUCGCAUCGGCAUCGGCCCCCCCCGCACAUCGUGCCGUGUGGCUGGCUCUCCGUCAGGGGGGACAGCCACGCCUGCC
rnacentral:misc_RNA from 1 species